UCUCUGCAACAGACAAGUUGGCAAUGGCGUCAACUAGACCUGGUGUUCAAAGGUGUUCUAGGGGAACUGCCUACAAAGAGUGUGAGCCCUGCCUUAAACUGCAGCCUCUUCCCCAGCAGUUUCCUCAAGGUGCCAGCAGAGACCAGAAGAGGACACUGGAUCCCCUGGAACUGAUUCCAGGUGGCUGUGAGAAUGGUACGGGUGCUUGGAACUGAACUCAGGGCUUCUGCAGGAUUAGGAAGCACCCUAAACCACUGAGCCGUCUCUCUACGAUCCUACGUUCCUCUUUAAACCCAAGUUGUCAUGGUGCUUCCCCUGACAUCAGUGAAGGAAGCCCCGGCAUUGCCUGUGAUUCCAUUGUGGUGUUGUUACAAGUGACCACCUGAAGCAAAGGGCAGCACCCUCGAUUGACUCCUUACUCAUACUUACCAGAGUGGCCUCAGUAGUGGAUUGAAUUAAAGAAAAUGGUACUCACAGGACCAACAUUAGGGAAGCCAAGUCAGCAAAAGAAGGGCAAAGGCGGUAACCAAGGGUCCCUGCUCAGAGAAAACAUGGAGAAGGAAACAUACUUCAACCUGGAUUCAACCCUUUGCUACACGUGGUCUUGAGUUCCUCUUCCAAUAAGACAUCUAGAUUUAUAAUUCACCGCAAGGAAAGCAAACUUGAUCCUGCCACUGACAGACUUAGCACUCAUGGAACCACCACAGGCCAUGUUCACCUGGGCACACACUGGUUUGAUGUUUUGCACCCUCCUUGGUAUAAAAGGUAAGCAAUUCUCUUGCCGAUGGUUUGGGGUAGAAAAGGCUGUGAUGGCCAUUUUAAAUCCUAGACCACUCUGGAUACCUCUAAAUACUGUCCCCAGAAUUGGAAAAACCACUUUUACACCUAAAAAAGCAAGAAAGCAAGCAAGAAAGAAAGAGAGAGAGAGAAAGAGAGAGAGAGAAAAAGAGAAAGAGAGAAAGAAAGCAAGAGAAAAAGAGAAAGAGAGAAAGAAAGAAAGAAAAAGAAAGGAAGAAAGGAAGAAAACGCACUAAUAACAAUUCUCCCUAUACUGUGGUGUAGACAAGAAACCAGUUUUGCUGUGUCAAAGUCCUGUGCUUUCCUCCUUUUUGUGAACCCUACCCUCUGUAAGCCUCUGACAUUCUUACAAGUAUUUAGCUAGUUACCGGAGGGCCUUAUGGAGCCAAAGGGAAAGUACACGCAGAACACAAGAAUAACCAACAUUAAUAUGGCAAUUUCUUAUCUAAGACUGCAGCCUUCAAAGGCACACUCAAACCUGGCUUUGUGGCAAGGAUCCGCUGUAUCUCUAGAAGAAGAAUACCAGGGCUGGAGAGAUGGCUCAGUGAUUAAGAGCACUGGUUCCUCUUCUAGAGGACCAGGGUUCAAUUCUCAACACCCACAUGGCAGCUCCCAUCUGCCUUCUAACUUCAGUUCCAGGGGAUCCAAUUCCCUCACACAGACAUAUAUGCAGGCAAAAUAUUAAUGCACAUAAAAUAAAAAUAAAACAUUAAAAAUUUUAAAAAGAAUGCUAAGAUGAUUUAAUCUGUGGCAGGUUUGUUGGAAGCAGGAGGGAAAGAUGCUAGGGACUGCUAUAUUAGAAACCAAGCCACCUCCAUAGUCUAAAUACAUGCAUUGCAAUAUGCCAGCUAUAAACAAACUUUAAAAGGAAUGUGUGUCGGGGACAACUGGCAACCCUUCUACAAAAAAAGCCCAUGUGAAUCUCAAGAAGAAAGCAUCAGAUUUCUAAGCCCUCUACAUCUCAAACACAAAGGGCAUCCCUGUCGAGACUGGGUAAUUGAGCCAAAAAAUUUCCUUCUGCCGUCCCUCCUUUGUGCUUGCCGCUUAGCUCAAGGAAGGAAAGCCGCAUCCAGGUCAAGGAUCUGAGUCUGCGGUUUGAAGGACACCACGUCGACUGCUGUCCCAGCAAUCCCCAAACAGGAAUGCAAGAAGAUGGCUGUAGGUCUGAUCCCUUGCAUUGGAAGAAGAGGUGGAGGGAGAAGUGGCUAGAGAUGUGGUGCGGCUGACAGAGCACGUGCCUAUCACACACAACACAGACCCCGGGCUCACUCCCAGGCACCCCAUAGAACCACAUGUGUUCACCUGUAACUGUGAUCCCAGCACUCCGGAGGGGGAGGCAGGAGGAUCGGAAGCUCAUACAGUGACUCAAAGGGCAGCUGGCUAUGUGAGAGACCCUGUCUCAAUAAAUAAAUAAAUAAAUAAAUAAAUAAAUAGCUAAACUAUAAAGAACAAAAAAAAAAAAAAAAAGAUGGUGAGCAAGGGUGUUCCAUCUUGGCAACAAGCCUUCCAUCCUCUACCCAGGCAGCCCUGGCUUUGACAUAAAAAGCAGGUGUUAUGGAUAGAGGAAAUCCCUCCAGGGGCAGGGAGUAGGGGCAUCACAAGGCAAAUCAAUUAGCCUCUCAUCGUUUCAGAAGGAAACUACUCUCAUCAGUGGGAAGAAGGUGGUGCUACUUAACCUCUCUCACAGGGAGGGUGUCAGGAGGAAACUAAUUAAAAAGCACUCUGGGAAACAUGGAGAGAGUUCCUUAAUGCGUUCAGCUUCGCCGCUGUGAAAUACGGCAUUAUUCCUCUCAGCACAGCUCUCAAGGACACACCACCCCAACAGCCAACAGCAUCACUAGUUCUCUGCAGUGUGAUAUACUCACUUCUUAGAGUGCAGAGACUGAGCCCUUCCCUGAAAUGUCCUGGGGAAGCGGCAGUGUCUGAGCUCAGUCAGCCAACAGCAUUCUGCAGGGCAGGCGGGUUCCUUUGGAAGGUGGAUGACUAUGCUGCCAAGUUUCACACAGAUGUUUUCUGAUAGGAAGAAAAGGAUAUUAUUUCAGUCAUGAACCUUCUUUGAGGCGAAUUCCACAUGAGACUUCUGUCCCAGGUCACACUCUUUUGCCUUCUGGAGGUUGGGCUGAACAGACAAGUACAUCCCUUGAAUCUGUACAUACAAUGCACCUGAAGGUAUUGGGGUAGAGAUGCAAGAUGAGGUUUUCGGAUAUGGGGGAGGGGCUUAAAAGAGGAUGGAUCAAUGAACACUGCAAGAGAAAAGGGGUCAAUAAGUGUAUCACCGGAAACUCCCACCCUAAAAAGCAAGGCCAGUUACAGCAGCCCACCUCCCGGAAGGGUGGAACAUGGCAGUCCAACCUGGGAAGCAAUGCAUACAGCUUGAACUCUGAGCCCUUAAAGGACAGCUUCUCGGAGAGCAAGAAGCAGAGAAUGAUGCUCUGAUUGGUGACUUCCGAGCGUCCAGAGAGCAGAUCAAAUUCAUUGGAACUGUUUUUCUAACUUCAAAGAGAGCCAGGGCGUGUGAAUUCACAGUUCUGCCACACUGGAUCAAGGCAGGCUCUGCGCUCCCCAAGGAAUCCUUCCUGGUCCACACCACAUGGGGAGGAUGGGUUAGGAAGGCUCUGGAAGAGAGAGCUCCCAUCACCCACUCUAAAACAAAUCUGUGAUGUUAUGUUAUGUUAUGUUAUGUUAUGUUAUGUUAUGUUAUGUUAUGUUAUGUUAUGUUAUGUUAUGUUAGCGGAAGACUAGAAGUCUGUACCUGCUGCCCCUUCACUUCACACACACCUGCAACGACACAUCCAAUUCCCCUCACACCGUCCCAUCCUGGAUUGUAAGCCUACGUCAGGCAAUGGUGGAAGCUGUUUAGUGACAAGGAGGAUAGGUGGUCAAGAUAUGUUACCUGAUGAAAAGACACAACCUCGUUUAAAGUAUCUUAUUUUCAUUCACACCCAGUAGCAUAUAGGUCAACACAUAUAUAUGCAGGCCCAGAAAGGAAAGCCCUGAGAUCAUUAAAAUUAACCUCUGGGUCACUUCCUGGAGGCCUCUGGCUGUCGACUCUUAUCUUGCCAAAAUGAUGCAGGCUAUUUCCAGCUUCACAGACCAGAAAUGAGACCAGAAGUGAUUAUACCAAGGCCCCACACCUGGUGAAUGGCAGAGCAGGGCGGGGGAUCCAGCCCACCACCGCAGGCAGCCUCUGAUACUUUCGGACAUCCAAUUUUGUGUGCAUCUGCAUCUCCUACAGUAAACGUGCAUUUUUUUGUCUUUUUUUUUUAAACCAGGAGAAACAGCUACCUUUAUUUUCAGUGUGAUCAAAUACGUUAAAGGAAAAAAAAACUGUGAUUAUUCUAGAAGCAACAAACACACAGGCAGGCCAGUUGUGGUUCUGUUGCUCCUGAAGACCUCAUUUUCGGAAGUGUUAUGUACUCAACUGUGGGGUAACCAAAGUGUCAGCCUGCAGAUAUUCAGGCACAUUUUGUUCCAACUCCUUUCCUACUCAUUCUCAAAAACUAGCAACAUUUUUGGAGGAAGGGCAUGCUCAGCCAAGGGUGGAUAAUAACUAGGCACCGUGGCAGACUGGUGACUUUGUAGCCAGACUCACCCAUGCUUGAAUUGUCUGCUCUCAACCAGCUACUUGACUUUAUGUGAGUCACAUGACCUUGGAGGAGGUCUAAGUCUGUGUCCAUAAAAACAAAGCUGCUGCCACCUCCUUCCAGGGUCACUACGAAGAGCCUGUAAAAUCACCAUUUGUUAAGGCUGAUGACACAUUAGAUGCAGAGUGAAUAGAAUUUAUAAUUAGUUUAUUAUGAAGUUCCAGGUCAACUUCUUUUUUGAAUUAAAUUUUUAUUUUUUUACAUUAAUUACACUUUGUAUCCCAGCUGUAGCCCCCUCCCUCCUUCCCUCAUCUCCUCUCAUACCCCACUCUAAGUCCACUGAUAGGGAGGUCCUCCUCCCCUUCCAUCUGAUCCUAGCCUAUCAGGUCUCAUCAGGACAGACUGCAGUGACCUCCUUUGUGGCCUGGGAAGGCUGCUUCUCUCUCAGGGGGAGGUGAUCAAAAUGCCAGCCACUGAGUUCAUGUCAGAGAUAGUCCCAUUCCCCUUAUUAGGGUACCUGCUUGGAUACUGAGUGCCAUGGGCUACAUCUGUGCAGCGGUUGGUUCUAGGUUAUCUCCAUGAAUGGUCUUUGGUUGGAGUAUCAGACUCAGAAAAGACCCCUGUGCCCAAAUAUUUUUGUUCUGUUGCUCUCCUCGUGGAGCUCCGGUCCUCUCCAGGUCUUACUAACUCCCCCUUCUUUAAUAUGAUUCCCUGAGGUCUGCCCAAAGUUUAGUUAUGAGUCUCAGCAUCUGCUCUGAUAAACUGCUAGGUAGAGUCUUUCAGAGGUCCUCUAUGGUAGGCUCCUGUCCUAUUUCUUGUUUUCUCCUUCUUCCAAUGUCCAGGUCUACUUCUUGACUUAAACAGUUGCACAAUAAACUAAGAUCACUGUCCACA